rnacentral:lncRNA from 1 species
UUUAAAAAUAGAAAAGAAAAACUCAGACCGUAUUUUACAAAUGGAUGGAGAAAUGAGUUUCUUUUCCUCAUGUUUUGUUUGAAUUCCAAGUCCACCCAACAUCUAGUCAGAGUAUAUCUGAAAGGCUGGGUGCCUUAUUUAGACUAUAGGUCCCUGGGUGAUUAGCACAUGGAUGACAAAUUAAGCCACAGGUAAGAGAACAUGUGUGGCUAGAGAGAAGCACUAAUCCCCAAACCCCGAGGAACCGCUGUGUGGAUGAGCUGGAAGACAGAACCCAGAUGACUGUGGAACAGUGAGAGGAAAGCCAGGGACUUCAGCCAAAGAAAACAGGUACGCUUCUAAGAAAGGAGGAAAUGGCACGUAAGUCAAGUCAUUCCCAGGGGCGAAAUACAGAGCGGAUAUACAAAGGUCCACUGAGGGCAGGAUCAGUAAGAACAGUUUCAGGACGCUCUGCUCCCAUACCAGGGGACUGUGCAGAUUGCCUACAACCUUCCUCCCCUACCCCAUCCUUUUUUUUUUCUCAGCCACCAACUCCCACAUGCCAGCCAGGGAAUCAGGUGGGCAAUCUUCCUCUCUUCCUCUCUUCCUCUAAUUCCAAUCACCCAGUCUCAUUCCUACUUCUGCAGCAGAUCACCUGAGGUCACCUCCCCUUUUUCUCUGUCACCCAUUCCCAGCGGUUCACUAAAUCCCCUACAGACUUCUACCCCCCUCUCCCUUUGUCUCAGCUGUUAACUCCAGGACACACUCCCUGGAAACCUGCAGGGCCACGCUGGCCCUGGAAUCAAGUAGGCAAUCUUAACUCACCCUCCUCUCCUCCAAUUCCACCCCCUAGUCUUACCCACCGCCCUGCAGCAGACUACAUGCUGUGGCCUCUCCUUCCUCUGUCCCCAUUCCCAGGCUUCAACUCAGAUUCUGGUGGCACACUCAAUUUUCCUGUCUCCUGGGGACUCUCUCAGCCCCCUUCCUCUAUUCUAAUCAUUCUUCAUUUCUUAUUGUUAGCUCCUAACACUGAGAAACACAGUCUAUCCCAGACCCCCAGUGGCCACACCUGGCAGGAUCUUGGGAGCAUUUCCUCCCAGGAAACGCAGAGCCACCACACUCCCCUAAGAACCUGAGAGAGCAACAAAAACCAAAGAAUAAAGACAGCACCAGCUAUCAGCACCCGGAAUUACAGCCACCCAAAGCCAGAUGCCUAGGUGCCAGCAUAAAAAUACAAUAAUAACUGG